rnacentral:tRNA from 1 species
GGUAAUAGUUAAAUAUAACAUUUGAUUUGCAUUCAAAAGGUGUUGACUUUUCAACUUACCUU